GAUCCUGGCUCAGAUUGAACGCUGGCGGCAGGCCUAACACAUGCAAGUCGAGCGGGGUUUUCGGACCUAGCGGCGGACGGGUGAGUAAUGCGUAGGAAGCUACCCGAUAGAGGGGGAUACCAGUUGGAAACGACUGUUAAUACCGCAUAAUGUCUACGGACCAAAGUGUGGGACCUUCGGGCCACAUGCUAUCGGAUGCGCCUACGUGGGAUUAGCUAGUUGGUGGGGUAAUGGCUCACCAAGGCGACGAUCCCUAGCUGGUUUGAGAGGAUGAUCAGCCACACUGGGACUGAGACACGGCCCAGACUCCUACGGGAGGCAGCAGUGGGGAAUUUUGGACAAUGGGCGCAAGCCUGAUCCAGCCAUGCCGCGUGAGUGAAGAAGGCCUUCGGGUUGUAAAGCUCUUUCAGACGGAAAGAAAUCGGUGCGUUUAAUACAUGCACUGGAUGACGGUACCGUAAGAAGAAGCACCGGCUAACUACGUG
rnacentral:rRNA from 1 species